rnacentral:rRNA from 1 species
UACGUAGGGGGCAAGCGUUGUCCGGAUUUAUUGGGCGUAAAGAGCGUGUAGGCGGCCGCACAGGUCCGUUGUGAAAACUGGAGGCUCAACCUUCAGACGUCGAUGGAAACCGUGCGGCUAGAGUCCGGAAGAGGAGAGUGGAAUUCCUGGUGUAGCGGUGAAAUGCGUAGAUAUCUGGAGGAACACCGGUGGCGAAGGCGGCAUCCUGGACCAACACUGACACUGAUGAGCGAAAGCCAGGGGAGCAAACGGG